GUCCCUUAGGGGACACCGGAUAAAAUUGGAAUGAUACAGAGAAGAUUAGCAUGGCCCCUAUGCAAGGAUGACGCGCACAAAUCGAGCUUUAACUAAAAUAUAA